rnacentral:lncRNA from 1 species
UGGAGGUGUGACAAUUAUGAUGGUAUUAGAACAUAAGUGGAUAAAUCAUGAUAGGUAAAAUCAAAUGUAAGAUGAAUGUAUAUGGAUAGACAUUAGGGAAGUUGGGAUCCAAAUUUAUAUUGAUUACAAUAUAAGUUAUCGGUGUGAUUUUCUAUUUAACCUUAAGAUCAUGAAUCAAAAGAUCACUAAGAAAUAAUGAUUC